CCUACGGGCGGCUGCAGUGGGGAAUAUUGGACAAUGGGCGAAAGCCUGAUCCAGCCAUGCCGCGUGUGGGAAGAAGGCCUUCGGGUUGUAAAGCACUUUCAGUGGGGAAGAAAGCCUUGGGGCGAAUACCCUCGAGGAAGGACAUCACCCACAGAAGAAGCACCGGCUAACUCCGUGCCAGCAGCCGCGGUAAUACGGAGGGUGCGAGCGUUAAUCGGAAUUACUGGGCGGAAAGCGCGCGUAGGCGGUCUGAUAAGCCGGUUGUGAAAGCCCCGGGCUCAACCUGGGAACGGCAUCCGGAACUGUCAGGCUAGAGUGCAGGAGAGGAAGGUAGAAUUCCCGGUGUAGCGGUGAAAUGCGUAGAGAUCGGGAGGAAUACCAGUGGCGAAGGCGGCCUUCUGGACUGACACUGACGCUGAGGUGCGAAAGCGUGGGUAGCAAACAGGAUUAGAUACCCUAGUAGUC
rnacentral:rRNA from 1 species